rnacentral:rRNA from 1 species
CCUACGGGGGGCUGCAGUGGGGAAUAUUGCACAAUGGGGGAAACCCUGAUGCAGCGACGCCGCGUGAGUGAAGAAGUAAUUCGUUAUGUAAAGCUCUAUCAGCAGGGAAGAAAAUGACGGUACCUGAGUAAGAAGCCUCGGCUAACUACGUGCCAGCAGCCGCGGUAAUACGUAGGGGGCAAGCGUUAUCCGGAUUUACUGGGUGGAAAGGGAGCGUAGACGGCAGUGCAAGUCUGGAGUGAAAGGCGGGGGCUCAACCCCCGGACUGCUCUGGAAACUGUACGGCUGGAGUGCAGGAGAGGUAAGUGGAAUUCCUAGUGUAGCGGUGAAAUGCGUAGAUAUUAGGAGGAACACCAGUGGCGAAGGCGGCUUACUGGACUGUAACUGACGUUGAGGCUCGAAAGCGUGGGGAGCAAACAGGAUUAGAUACCCGUGUAGUC